UACGUAGGGUGCGAGCGUUGUCCGGAAUUAUUGGGCGUAAAGGGCUCGUAGGCGGUUUGUCGCGUCGGGAGUGAAAACACUGGGCUUAACUCAGUGCUUGCUUCCGAUACGGGCAGACUAGAGGUAUGCAGGGGAGAACGGAAUUCCUGGUGUAGCGGUGAAAUGCGCAGAUAUCAGGAGGAACACCGGUGGCGAAGGCGGUUCGCUGGGCAUUACCUGACGCUGAGGAGCGAAAGUGUGGGGAGCGAACAGG
rnacentral:rRNA from 1 species